rnacentral:rRNA from 1 species
GGGUUGUGAGGUUAAGCGACUAAGCGUACACGGUGGAUGCCCUGGCAGUCAGAGGCGAUGAAGGACGUGCUAAUCUGCGAUAAGCGCCGGUAAGGUGAUAUGAACCGUUAUAACCGGCGAUUUCCGAAUGGGGAAACCCAGUGUGAUUCGUCACACUAUCAUUAACUGAAUCCAUAGGUUAAUGAGGCGAACCGGGGGAACUGAAACAUCUAAGUACCCCGAGGAAAAGAAAUCAACCGAGAUUCCCCCAGUAGCGGCGAGCGAACGGGGAGGAGCCCAGAGCCUGAAUCAGCAUGUGUGUUAGUGGAAGCGUCUGGAAAGGCGCGCGAUACAGGGUGACAGCCCCGUACACAAAAGCGCAUGUGCUGUGAGCUCGAUGAGUAGGGCGGGACACGUGGUAUCCUGUCUGAAUAUGGGGGGACCAUCCUCCAAGGCUAAAUACUCCUGACUGACCGAUAGUGAACCAGUACCGUGAGGGAAAGGCGAAAAGAACCCCGGCGAGGGGAGUGAAAAAGAACCUGAAACCGUGUACGUACAAGCAGUGGGAGCACAGGUUUACCUGUGUGACUGCGUACCUUUUGUAUAAUGGGUCAGCGACUUAUAUUCUGUAGCAAGGUUAACCGAAUAGGGGAGCCGGAGGGAAACCGAGUCUUAAUUGGGCGUUAAGUUGCAGGGUAUAGACCCGAAACCCGGUGAUCUAGCCAUGGGCAGGUUGAAGGUUGGGUAACACUAACUGGAGGACCGAACCGACUAAUGUUGAAAAAUUAGCGGAUGACCUGUGGCUGGGGGUGAAAGGCCAAUCAAACCGGGAGAUAGCUGGUUCUCCCCGAAAG